CCAAUAGCGUAUAUUAAAGUUGUUGCAGUUAAAAAGCUCGUAGUUGAACUUCGGGGUUCACCCAUUGGUCAGGCUUAAUUGUCUGCACUGGUGAGAUGAGUCUCUACCUUCUGAGGAACUUUCAUGCCAUUUAUUUGGUGUGGUUGGAAAUCAGGACUGUUACUUUGGAAAAAUUAGAGUGUUUAAAGCAGGCUAACGUCUGAAUACAUUAGCAUGGAAUAAUGAAAUAGGACGGAUUGAUUCUAUUUCGUUGGUUUCUAGGGUCACCGUAAUGAUUAAUAGGGAUAGUUGGGGGCAUUAGUAUUCAAUUGUCAGAGGUGAAAUUCUUGGAUUUAUUGAAGACUAACUACUGCGAAAGCAUUUGCCAAGGAUGUUUUCAUUAAUCAAGAACGAAAGUUAGGGGAUCGAAGACGAUCAGAUACCGUCGUAGUCUUAACCAUAAACUAUGCCGACUAGGGAUCGGACGAAGUUAAUUUUAUAAUGACGCGUUCGGCACCUUACG
rnacentral:rRNA from 1 species